GCUAUUUUAGUCUGUCAGUUUUCAUUUAAAAUUACGAAAAAGAAGCAAAUGUGACUGACAAUAAUGUGAGAUUUUGAUAAAAAUAUUAAAAGUGGAAUUUAUUUAGCAGGCUUUGUGCUAUAUCGUGUGUUUCGUUAGAGAAACCGACAUAAUAUCUCAUAGAGGUACUCUGACGCAUUACAUUUAUCUGGGACAAAGGUCAACGGUUUCAAAGUAAUAUCUAAGAUUAACGAUUUUUUGUCGUUUAGAAGUUUCAAAAGGGUGUACGUUUCUAUUGGAUACGAGCCGAUGGUUUCUGAGACAUUUAAUUUGGUUUCUUUAUCUCUGUUAAGUGCACGGACACAACCGCACAGUCAGUGUUUUCUUGGAUACAGAAGCCAUCAAUGUGAAUGUGUUUAGUGAGUUAGGUGGUACACUGGGACAGAGUUUUGAUACACUUUGUAUCAUUUUUAUUCAGGAUGAUUCCAUUGUAUAAGUGCAUGGACAUACCACAUUCUGUGGAUAUAUAUUUUAAUAAAACAUCCUCACCCUGUAGUAUUUGCACAACGCCUUCGACCACAGCCAGUAGAACAUAUCUCUGGAACUAACUAAAAAGAAUUGAAUUGCAUGACAUCUUCCACCAUUUUCUCGCAUCAGGUUCUUCAAUGUUUUAUCAACAGAAGUAGGAAUUAUAAAAAUGCAUGAUUUUUGUCAUUUCUUGGUGACGACAUCGCAGGUGACGGCAUCGGUCAGAAACAUAAUUUGAUGGAAUUUAGUCUAACUGCUUAAAAUUAUGACAGAGGUAUGCGUGUAUAUGGAAUACGUGUGUAUGUGUCUUCUUCAGACAUAUAAACGAUGGUGUCUACUUGUAGCAGUAAGCACAAUGCCUAACUUUGUAGUUGUACCUCACUGGAAUAUCACGUCGUAGAUAUGUGACAUAAUACCCCACCCAGUCAUGUUAUACUGACACCUGGCUGAUCAAUUCUAGUACGACCAUCUUGUGUGAGAAAUUUACAUGAACCAUUUUUAUGUCUUUGGUAUGGUGCGGCCAAGGAGUGAACCAAGGACCUCCCACACUCGAAGCGGACGCUCUACCAAUACGCUAUCGAGGCGGCGUAUCCAUAGUACAUUUCAUAUACAUAAUCUUGUUAAUUUAAUGUUUACAUUAAACAUAUAUAAUUAAUUCUUCGCAUUUUCAAUUAUGACAUUUGUGUCUAGAGUAACUUAAAACCACAUGCUUAAUUUUAUUUUUCUUCUGACAGUUCCAUAUACUUAAUCCUGUCAUGUUUUUGUUCAUAAAGCAGCAUUAAUUAGCAUGAAUAUCUCAAACUUGCCAGAUUUUUUUGUGAAGUAAAUGUUCCUGUCUGUAGUAAUAUCUUGCGGGUCAUAAAAAUGAAGUACUUACCAUAAAAUGAAGAUACAGCGAAAUGGUCAUUUAUCAUAAUGCAAAUCAUGUUCAUUUGAAAUUAAAAUAAAAACCGCAAGCGCUACUACCUACUGGUGCGCAUCUUAAGAUAUGUAC
rnacentral:lncRNA from 1 species